rnacentral:rRNA from 1 species
CUCUCCAAAGAGGUCCUUGUUCAGGUGGCGUCCAUGGAAACCUCACACGCGAUCUGGACAGCGUUGGCUAAUAUGUUCUCGGCCGUCUCCCUCUCCCGCGUCAACAACAUCCAUGCUGCCCUCACCAAUGCGCAGAAGGGCACGCAAUCUGCCUCGGCAUUCUUUGGGCACAUGCGUUCCCUCUCUGAUGAGCUUGCUGCGGCGGGCAAGCCUAUUGGGGAACCGGAACUGAUCUCCUUCAUUGUUGCCGGCCUCGACAUGGAAUACCAACCACUCAUCUCCGCCCUUGAUGUUCGCGUCGAGCCCAUUACUGUCGACCAUCUCUUCUCUCUGGUCGCAAACUUUGAUCAGCGCCUCGAGAUGUAUCAUGGCAAUGGCGCUGGUGGCUUCAAGUCCUCAGCGAACGCUGCCUCCAGG